rnacentral:tRNA from 1 species
GCCGGGAUGGUGGAAUUAUGGUAGACACGCACGCUUGAGGGGCGUGUGGGGCGACCCGUGCGGGUUCGAGUCCCGCUCCCGGCA